rnacentral:rRNA from 1 species
UACGGAGGGGGCUAGCGUUGUUCGGAAUUACUGGGCGUAAAGCGCACGUAGGCGGCUUUGUAAGUUAGAGGCGAAAGCCCGGGGCUCAACUCCGGAACUGCCUUUAAGACUGCAUCGCUUGAAUCCAGGAGAGGUGAGUGGAAUUCCGAGUGUAGAGGUGAAAUUCGUAGAUAUUGGGAAGAACACCGGUGGCGAAGGCGGCGAGCUGGCCUUGAUCUGACGCUGAGGCGCGACAGCGUGGGGAGCAAACAGG